CUGAACUCUAUGAACGAUUAAGUGAGUCUGAGUGUCUACCUCGGUCUGUGUCUCACUCCGUCUCUCCGUGUCUCAGUCUCUAGCUUGCUCUUCCAUUAUUAAAUGCUUCAAGUACACCCCCCCCACACACACACACACACACGAGAGACCAAGCCGUGACAUUAAAUAAAGAUGUCAUUUAUUGUUGAAACCAUCUGCUCAUGCAAUAACAGGAAUGAGGAUAAUACAGCCGCCGAUGGGAGGGUCUGAGUUCAAAGGUGUGCAGAGGAAGAUGAGACAGAAGGGAGCUGAAGGCGUCCACUCAAACAGGUGGAUAUGAGGAGGAGGGGGAGACAUCUCAUCUGAUGCUUCACAGAGCACCACAACGCACCGUUUAUUCAGACGGCGGGGACUGGAGAUGGAGGGGGAGGGGGGGGGGUGUACAUGAGAGGGAACCCACUGAGGAAGGAGUGAUGAGGAGGAGGAGGAGAUGAGGGGAUGAAGGACUAGCCCUGCUUUAGAGGCGACUGAGAGAUGUCUCGGUCACUUAGUCUCAGCUGGGUCUCGGAGGAAUGGUUCAAAUCGGCGCACGCCCCAAAACAACUCAAUAAAAACAAAGAAGAAGAUGGUCCAAACUUGGAGUAGGAAUGUCAGAAGACUCUUUAAAAAUAUAGAUAUACAUUUAUAUAGCUUUAUAUAGGACUUCCAGAAGACAUGAAGAUACUUGAAUCUAAACUCCCAAUACACGUGAUGUGGAUUCUUUACAACAGGCACAGUAGUGUUGGUAGAAAACACAGACAAUACAAAAAACAAGACACCCAAUCGUAUUGUUGCCCACCGUAGCGUCGCAACUGGGCUAGUAGUGUUAGCCAAGCUAGCAGUUUUAGCCAGGCCAGAAGUGUUAGCCAAGCAGGCCGUGUUAGCCAAGCUAGCCGUGUUAACCAAGCUAGCCGUGUUAGCCAAGCUGGCCGUAUUAGCCAAGCUAGGCGUGUUAGCCAAGCUAACCAUGCUAGCCAAGCUAGCCAUGCUCAUUGCAUCAGACAGGCUAGCAGCAGUAGAGGCGCUAGGCCGGCGAGGCCCCCCCCCGCUGGAGUCGUGUCGUGUGAUUAUCUUAGAGGCUAACGACAUCUCAUUUCAUUUUUUAUAAAAAUGCACCCCCAAAACAAAUGAGCGAAUCUGUCAGUAGUAUGGAGACUCCGCCCCCUGCCUCACACCCGGAGCGUUCCCAUGGUUACGGGCCGAGCAUCUCUUUUAGGAAUGGCAGAAAGAGGAAAUACAUCUUGAAGCUCUAGUUAGAAAAAACAACUAUAUGUGCAAAAGGUAAUUGUUACAGAUGUGGGAGAAUAAUUCAUAUUUAUAUAGAAACACCAAUCACAGAGGGCCUCCCGCGGGUUGGUCACCGCCCUCCUCCUCCUUGAUUGGUUAAAAGGCUAGCAGGUGACCUGGAAGCUGGAUGCUGAUUGGAGGCUGACUUCACGUCAACUGGACCGCCCGCUUUAGCUUCUCUAUUUCCAUCUGAGACAGACAGACAGACAGACAAUUCAGCCAUUAUAUUUCUAAUUAUAAAUAACACUAGCGCACUAUGCAUUUAGGCAACUUCAGCGUGUUUAGCUAGCUCCUGCUACAUUAAGGUAGCUCAUGCUACAUUAAGCUAGCACAAGCCCUACAGCUAGCAUACUGCCUCUCUAGCGUUUAUCUAGUUACAUGAUGCUAGCGUCUAGGAGUUUGUUACCAUGGAGAUCAUUGUUACCAUGGUGACGGAGGUUUUGUUACCAUGGUGAUGGAGAUUUUUGUUACCAUGGUAAUAUCGAUGGUUGUCAUCAUGGUGAUGGAGAUGUUUGUUACUAUUGCACAUAGAUGUUUGUGACCACUGCGAUGGAGAUGUUUGUCACAAUUGGGAUGGCGAUGUUCGUUACCUGCAGUGUCAGCCUCUUCAACCUCUCCUCGUCGAGCUCAGCUCGGAGCAACGCCAUCUCCUUCCUACACACACACACACACACACACCUAGUUCAAAACAUCAUGCAAGGAAAGAUUUUCUUAACAUGUAGCAUGUAGACCUUCACUUUGGACCUUCACUCUGGACCUUCACUCUGGACCUUCUAGUCAUUCUAGACCUUCACUCUGGACCUUCACUCUGGACCUUCCAGUCCCUCUAGACCUUCACUCUGGACCUUCACUCUGGACCUUCUAGUCAUUCUAGACCUCCACUCUGGACCUUCACUCUGGACCUUGUAGUCAUUCUAGACCUUCACUCUGGACCUUCACUCUGGACCUUGUAGUCAUUCUAGACCUUCACUCUAGACUUUCACUCUAGACCUUCCAGUCCCUCUAGACCUUCACUCUGGACCUUCACUCUAGACCUUCUAGUCCCUCUAGACCUUCACUCUAGACCUUCUAGUCACUCUAGUCCCUCUAGACCUUCUAGCCAUUCUAGACCUUCACUCUAGACCUUCUAGUCAUUCUAGACCUUCACUCUAGACCUUCUAGUCCC
ensembl:lncRNA